rnacentral:rRNA from 1 species
GAUGAACGCUGGCGGCGUGCUUAACACAUGCAAGUCGAACGAGAAGUGAAGACGGAAACCUUCGGGCGGAAGGCUUUAUUUCGAGUGGCGGACGGGUGAGUAACGCGUGGGUAACCUGCCUCAUACAGGGGGAUAACAGUUGGAAACGACUGUUAAUACCGCAUAAGACCACAGCACCGCAUGGUGCGGGGGUAAAAACUCCGGUGGUAUGAGAUGGACCCGCGUUCGAUUAGCCAGUUGGCGGGGUAACGGCCCACCAAAGCGACGAUCGAUAGCCGAUCUGAGAGGAUGACCGGCCACAUUGGGACUGAGACACGGCCCAAACUCCUACGGGAGACAGCAGUGGGGAAUAUUGCACAAUGGGGGAAACCCUGAUGCAGCGACGCCGCGUGAGUGAAGAAGUAUUUCGGUAUGUAAAGCUCUAUCAGCAGGGAAGAAAAUGACGGUACCUGAGUAAGAAGCCCCGGCUAACUACGUG